AAUUCCUGACUUGUCAAUGCAAUGACGUUUAUUUACGUCAUUUUUCUACAUUACCAACAUACAUUUCAUUUUUUAAUAUUUUUAAAAAUUCUUUGUUAACUAUAUAACGACAUGCAUUUGGACGAAAAAUAUCAGUUACAAUUACAUUAGUAAACUACAAAUAAAGCCUGUCAUAGAUGAAAUACUUAGGACUUUUGUUAAUGAUUGUCUUCACAAUCCUCGUGUUCCAAGAUCUAGCUACUGCUUGCAUAAAGAAUCGCGAUGGAUGCCAACCUGACGGAAGUCAAGGAAACUGUUGCUCCGGAUACUGCUACAAACAACCUGGAUGGGUUGCGGGUUACUGCACAUAAUAUCUUUUGAUGACAUGUCGCAUGUUACAAAUUGUAACUAUAAUUUUAAAAUAAACAACAGCAUUUAAAAAUAUGUAUCUUUUAUUUGGGUCUAUUAAGCCAUUUAAUUCUUAACGUCGAAAAAUUGUAAUAUUUCAUGUUAUUUAAAAUCUGAUGUUAUUCUGAUACAUUAUUAAAAAUAUUUCUAGAAUGUUAAAUUGUUAUUGAGUUUCUGCGUUUUUAAAAUUCUUAUAUUAUUAAUGCAUUGUUUACAGUCUUCCUAUUUUUAAAUUUUUGUAUUUUGCAUUUGAUUACUCAUUUUUUACAAUAUAUGUUAAUAAAUGUAAUUAGAGUCAGUUUCUUACAAGCAAUAAAUUGUAAGUUUCACGUAUUUUUCGUGUUUUUACAUAGAUAAAAAAUCGCAUUAUAUAUUAUCGAGGGUGUUUCCAAUUCAUGUUAAUAAAUGCAAUCUGAGUCAGUUCUUGGUAACUCAUUAUAUCAAUAACAAAGAGAAACCUUAUCGUACAUGCACCCAAUUAUGCAACUGGUUUUUCCUUUGAGUCUGUUACUAUAAAACUAUCCGUAUUCAGUGUAAAAACCAUCACAAUUUUAAUAAUAUACUCCACUCAACAACUCAACAAUUGAAAUAAAAUAAUGAAGUUCAUCGGACUUAUCUUUUUGGUAAUCUUUGCCUUGGUUGCACUUCAACAUGUGGUAUUUGCUUGUAUCAAAAAUCGUGAUGGUUGUCAGCCUGAUGGACGUCAAGGAAAUUGUUGUUCUGGAUACUGUCACAAAGAACCUGGAUGGGUUGCAGGAUAUUGCAAAUGAAUCGAUCUAAUGUACAAUAAAAAUUUAGUUAUCAUAAAUAAAAUUUUUUAAAAAUA